UUUCACGAAAUCGAAGGAGCACGGAUUUUUACGCGUUUUUAUACUUUUACGAACAUUACUAAUUAACGAAUGGGAUUCAGAAAAAGGAAGAGAAUUUCUGACGUUUCCAGAGGAUGUUCAUUUAGCGUAAAAUCGAAACCAGCGAUCGCGUAGAUACCAUCAAUGAGAAUCUUAAUCCGAACUGAAGAUAUCCUCUGUUGCAACGAUACAAUUGCAAAUCGAAAAUGACGAUAAGAACGCGAUAGGGUUAAG
rnacentral:misc_RNA from 1 species